rnacentral:rRNA from 16 species
AAAGGUCCUCGGCCUAUUCUCAAACUUUAAAUGGGUGAGAGCGGUCGGUUGCUUGGGUGAACUGACCGAUGGAAUGGACGGUUAUUAGUGGGCCAUUUCUGGUAAGCAGAACUGGCGAUGCGGGAUGAACCGAACGAGGGGUUAAAGUGCCGGAAUAUACGCUCAUCAGACACCACAAAAGGUGUUGGUUCAUCUAGACAGCAGGACGGUGGCCAUGGAAGUCGGAAUCCGC